rnacentral:rRNA from 1 species
GACGAACGCUGGCGGCGCGCUUAACACAUGCAAGUCGAGCGAGAACCAGGGCUUCGGCCCUGGGGACAGCGGCGAACGGGUGAGUAACACGUGGGUAAUCUGCCCUCGGCACCGGAAUAGCCCGGGGAAACCCGGAUUAAUGCCGGAUGGCCCCUUCACCUCGCGAGGUGUCGGGAAAAGGUAGCUUCGGCCUCUGGCCGAGGAUGAGCCCGCGGCGGAUUAGCUUGUUGGCGGGGUAACGGCCCACCAAGGCGACGAUCCGUAGCUGGUCUGAGAGGACGAUCAGCCACCCUGGGACUGAGACACGGCCCAGACUCCUACGGGAGGCAGCAGUGGGGAAUCUUGCGCAAUGGGCGAAAGCCUGACGCAGCGACGCCGCGUGAGGGAAGAAGGCCUUCGGGUUGUAAACCUCUUUCAGGAGGGACGAAGCUACUCGGGUGAAUAGCCCAGAGGGUGACGGUACCUCCAGAAGAAGCCCCGGCUAACUACGUGCCAGCCGCCGCCGUAAUAC